AAACCCAACUCCCCAUAACUCCAAAUUGAAAUGAAGGAAAACUCCUCCAAUUUCACACAAGCCCAAAAUCUAUCUGAAAAUUCAUCAUACGUUGCUUCCGUCGAAACCUGUUAACUCCCUCUCGACGCCGCCGCCGCCGCCAGAAUACUUCGUCAAAAGCAGCGUCGAAACCCACGCUUACCCCUCCGAUGGCCUCCCCGAGUUCAGCCCGUGCCUGCCUCUCAGUUAGCGACGCGCCGCCUUACUCUGUCCGUUCAUCCAUGUCCUCUGACGGUGCGAGUCCGCCGGAAGCCGCGUCUGUGUCUACCAUCGAGAUUCAGAUUCAAACACUGCAUAUUGACAUGGAUCGAGAUUUGAUAAUUGAAAUCCUUUUGAGGUUGCCGGUGAAGUCUAUUGUACGAUUCAAGGCUGUGUGCAAGUUAUGGAGAUCUCUCAUAUCCGAUCCCCUAUUUGCAUCAUUACAUUUUCAACGUGCUGCUCCUUCACUCCUUUUCGCUGACUCUCAUGCCAUUCGAACCAUUGACUUAGAGGGACCGCUUCAAUCUCAUCGUGUUUCUCAACCAAUCAAUUGUCACUUUUUGUCUAAUUAUCAUGAUUUAUCCUUGCCUCGUAACUGUAUUUCGAUUCACGGUUCGUGUAGAGGCUUUCUGCUAAUCACCUGGAUUAGGAAUAUUGGUCGUCGGCACCCGUGGAAUGAUAGUCUCUACCUGUGGAAUCCAUCCACACAUGUCCACAAACCAAUACCAUCAUCUCCUGUUGUUGACACCAAUGUUUUUAGUCAUCUAUUUGGAUUUGGUUACGAUUCCUCGACAGAUGACUACUUGGUGGUUCGAGUGCCCGUUACGGACGGUAACCAACCUACUCAUUUACCAGAUGUGCAGUUUUUCUCAUUGAGAGCUAAUAUGUGGAAAUAUACCGAGGGUGUUGAUUUGCCUCCCUUGACCACUAUUGACCUUUGUCAUGGAUUGCUCUUUAACGAGGCUAUUCACUGGGCGGUUAGUAACUGGGUCGAUGGUGUUACGAACAUGUUUAUUAUUGCCUUUGAUUUAAUGGAAAAGAGACUCUUAGAGAUACCCAUGCCUCAUGGUCUUCUUUUCCCUGGUUUUACUUUGUGGGUGCAUGGAAGAUUUUUAAGUCUAUCAAUUUUGCAGAGAGAUGGUACAUGUGAAAUAUGGGUUAUGAAGAAAUACAAAGUACUGACAUCUUGGACCAAGACUGUUCUAUCUACGGGGAGCUUUCACUUCCCAAUAUGCUCUACAAAAGGUGGUGAUAUUGUUUUACAUUCUGGAACAAAAGUGAAAAAGUAUAGUGAUGAAGGAGUAGAACAAGAAGAACAACUAGAGUAUCCGAACCAUUGUGGUUUACUAAAUGCAUCAGUGCCCAUAUAUACAGAGUCAAUGCUUUCACUCCCUGAUGUUAGCGACUGAAAUCUCCACAAGAGCUUCGAUUUGUAACAAUUAGUGGGUCUGGUAGCAUCAUUCACGUAUGUUGGUGAAGUGAUCAAUGAAAAAUUGGGUCAAACAGAAGCUGAAAUCCUUCAUUGAGGUCCAUGGAGAAGAAAGGAAGCCAUGGGGAGAGUCCAUUAGGAUCUUGACUACAAGGAGCGAAGACCCAGUUAAUUUAUAUGAAGGAUUACGAGCCCUAUGGAGCAUACACUGAAGAUACUGAGUGUGUUGGGCUUGCUCGGCUUGGAAGCGAAGAUCAUAUGAUAGUAGUUGGAACAAUGAAGCAGUUGCAGUUGGUUGACUUUGGAGCACCUUUGCAUUGCCUUGUCAUAACAGGGAAGACCCAUCCCUUGGGAACAGAAAUGCUGGGUUUUAACAGAUGCAGGACUUGGUCAUUGAGACUAAAGGACUACUUUAAGUCAUAAAAGACUUUUUUUCUUUGUGUUGAAGGAGGGGAUUCAGAUUGGACACCCCAUCACAAAAUCUCACACCACCAUUUAGAUCUCGGAGCAAGAUGCGAAAUCUUGUGCUAGAGUUGCCAAAUCCAACUCUCUUGAAUGAGUCUUUAUCUUUUGUGAAACUUUUUGCUUGUGAGCUAGAGGCGGCUAAAGUUUUUUUUUCCCGAAAUAAUCCCAUCAUCGAAUUAAGAAGGCAUAUAGGCCACAAUGUCAAGAUCUACCAAGUUCUGAGCCACUUCUGGAACCUCCUCAACCCAAACUUGACAACCAAGGUUAGGAGCGUAUCUUACAACCAAGGCUAAUUGUAUGACCCUUACAUUUAUCUAGAAGGAAGUAACUUACAUAUCUUUUAUACUAACACUGUAGAAACUCAACAAAUGAGAACAUGUUGCUCAUAAACUCUGAUUCUUGUAUAGUUGUAUUUCUAAGUACGUA